rnacentral:rRNA from 1 species
CCUACGGGUGGCAGCAGUGGGGGAUAUUGCACAAUGGGGGGAACCCUGAUGCAGCGACGCCGCGUGGGUGAAGAAGCGCCUCGGCGCGUAAAGCCCUGUCAGCAGGGAAGAAAAUGACGGUACCUGAAGAAGAAGCCCCGGCUAACUACGUGCCAGCAGCCGCGGUAAUACGUCGGGGGCAAGCGUUAUCCGGAUGUACGGGGUGUAAAGGGGGCGCAGACGGCGAUGCAAGCCAGGAGUGAAAGGCCUGGGCCCAACCCCAGGACUGCACUGGGAACUGCGUGGCUGGAGUGCAGGGGGGGGAGGCGGAAUUCGUGGUGUAGCGGUGAAAGGCUGAGAGAGAAGGAGGAACGCCGGUGGCGAAGGCGGCCUGCUAAACUGCAACUGACAUUGAGGCGCGAAAGCGUGGGGAGCAAACAGGAUUAGAGACCCUAGGAGGC